CUGGGCCCAGCGCCCAAGGCAAAUGUAAUUUAUCAACGGCAGAAAGCAAAGUGUGGGUCACUCAAAGUCGCUGAGGCUCAGGUCCAGUUCGUUGCCGUCCAGCUUGUCGCGGAGGUUCCCGCCCUUGCUACCGGCCUUGGUCAUGGUAACGCCGGCUGAGCGGGCCCCGGCUCCGGGGUUCCGGCGGGUGAAAGGAGCUGAAAUGUCGCUUGUCAGUUCAGCGGCCCCCCACCCAAACGACGACGCCUGAGCCCUCCGUCGCCGCCGAUACGAGACCGCCUCCGCCCGUCCGCCCGCCGGCCGCACUCCGAGCCCCGCGCCUAGCUCCCACCGGUGCCGCGACGACGACCACUUCCGUGUCCACGUCACCUUCCGCGACCACUGAGAUGGGCUGGGCCAGAGCGGCCCGAGCGUGUGCGGGCACGCCCCCUGGUGCCCAGGGUGAUGCACUGCACGUCGCCGCCGCCGGAGGGGUGGGGUUGGAGGCUGCGAGCUCGGUUCACCGGUGGCCCGCGGGCAUUAUUGCUGGCAGUGCCACGAGGCAAAAGGGCACAGACUGGGCGCCAGAAGACUGGGUUGACAUCCAAUACUGACCUCAUCAGAUCACCCCAAUCCCCCUGAUUACGAGCAGAAGCUGGGUGUCCUCCAAAACUGCUCCCUGUCCUCUACUUAACCCCCGAAUAACCAUCAUGGGGAAAACUCGACUUCCUGAAUUUC
rnacentral:antisense_RNA from 1 species